CUCGGUGACUUUGCCGGAGGGGUCACACCCGUUCCCAUCCCGAACACGGAAGUUAAGCCCUCCAAGGCCGAUGGUACUGCAUUGGUAACGAUGUGGGAGAGUAGGUCGUUGCCGGGA
rnacentral:rRNA from 1 species